AGUUAAUGAGCUUGAAUAAGCAUGUGUUUUGAAAAUACAAGAAAGGAAAAAUACCCCUAUUAGCUU
rnacentral:tRNA from 1 species